AAGACCUUGUACUUUUGGAGCGGCCGAUGUCUGAUUAGCUAGUUGGUGGGGUAAAGGCCUACCAAGGCUUCGAUCAGUAGCUGGUCUGAGAGGACGGCCAGCCACACUGGGACUGAGACACGGCCCAAACUCCUACGGGAGGCAGCAGUGGGGAAUUUUGGACAAUAGGGGCAACCCUGAUCCAGCCAUGCCGCGUGAGUGAAGAAGGCCUUCGGGUUGUAAAGCUCUUUCAGCCGGAACGAAACGGUUACGGUUAAUACCCGUGACUACUGACGGUACCGGAAGAAGAAGCACCGGCUAACUACGUGCCAGCAGCCGCGGUAAUACGUAGGGUGCGAGCGUUAAUCGGAAUUACUGGGCGUAAAGCGUGCGCAGGUGGUUUUGUAAGUCAGAUGUGAAAGCCCCGGGCUCAACCUGGGAACU
rnacentral:rRNA from 1 species